rnacentral:lncRNA from 1 species
UGCCCCCCUCUUUGUGAAAUAAAAAUGUAGCUAACCUUAAAAACCAUAUGAAAAUGUGCCUAUAAAGGACAAUAUUUAUAAUACUCAAUUAGGGUUUAUAAUUGUACAAAUUUCCUUGGACUUUAUUGUGGUAGACUAAUUAAGUCACACACUUUAUUGAAGCCAAGGGAAGGACCUAAUCGGACCCACAGGACUGCAGCUCCAACGGAUGUUUCUAAUUUGGUAACUCUUGAUCAAUUGAGAUAUGUCUAUUAAUCCAGACUCAUUCUACCGAAACUCGAGAUUGCAUUCUCAAGUCAACU